rnacentral:rRNA from 1 species
CCUACGGUAGGCAGCAGUAGGGGAUAUUGCUCAAUGGAGGAAACCCUGAUGCAGCGACGCCGCGUGGGGGAUGAAGGUUUUCGGAUUGUAAACUCCUGUCGUUAGAGAAGAUAAUGACGGUAUCUAACGAAUAAGCACCGGCUAACUCCGUGCCAGCAGCCGCGGUAAUACGGAGGGUGCGAGCGUUACUCGGAAUUACUGGGCGUAAAGAGCGCGUAGGCGGGAUAGCAAGUCAGAUGUGAAAUCCUAUGGCUUAACCAGAGAGCUGCGUUUGAAACUGUUAUUCUAGAGUGUGGGAGAGGCAGGUGGAAUUCUUGGUGUAGGGGUAAAAUGCGUAGAGAUUAAGAGGAAUACUCGUUGCGAAGGCGACCGGCUAGAACAUAACUGACGCUGAGGCGCGAAAGCGUGGGGAGCAAACAGGAUUAGAUACCCCUGUAGUC